UUCACAAUAGCAGUAAUAGGCGCGUGCCACUCGACCUCGAUCCGUUUUCUUCUACUUCCUCGAUGCGAACGGAGCCCAGCAGUGCUAGCGAUUGCGCUCCACUCGCGUCGAAAUACGCACCUCAAUGUCUCGUCUGCUCGAAUGACUUUUCAUUUGCCAGCAUCCUGCGAUUUUCUGUCCAAGCAAAUAGUAAUUUCAGACGUGUCUCAUCCUUGGUGGCGUGAGAUUUAGCCACGUCGCGGCAAGGACGUUUGGAUCGAUCCUGGGCGUCGUUUUCUCCUUCCCUUUUCGGAAUGGGUUAAGAGCUUCAGAAAAAGCUUUCCAUCCCAAAAAGGUGAAACCUUUGGGGAAUUCAAAUUCAAAAGUCGUCGUCUUGUCAUCCGGUUUCCCCCCUUUUUUUAUCCCAACCCUAAUUUCCCACUAUAAAACUCCUCUUUUCAGUUCACUGCCAGGGGGAGAUUAUUUUUCUUAGGGAGAUUUUUUUUAAAGAGUCGGAUAUUUUAGCUGAAUACUUUAGUUGGAAAUUUGUUUUAGGCAAAAAAGCCUCAGAAAGUAUUGAAGAACAGAGAGAAAGAAAAGAAAUCUAAGGUUUAUGUUUAAGAAAGAUCGAACACUCGUCUAGUUCAAAAUUUUUGAAAAGUUCUUUUUUUAUAUUCAAGGUCGAUUCGAACCUUUUUCCUGAAGUUCCCUAAACUCACUUUUGGUGGUAGAAGCUGUAGCCAAGCUCGCUCUUUUACUCAAUCUAGCAGCCCCAAAGAAGGUGUAGGUGGAAAGAGAGGAGUCUAUUGGAAAUAAAGCUUGAGAAUAGCAUCCUUUUAUGAAAAAUCUUGGUAUGUCCUCACAUGAUUCCAGGACAUAGUUAUGUUUAGCUUUCCUUUUCGACAGACAUUGUAAUAGACUUGAGUAUUUCCAUUUUGUUGAUGUAUGGGCUGUGACCCAAGAUAUUCAUGUGUCUAAUAUGUCUACAACGAUACUUAGUCCUUUCUUAUGUUUUCUAUAAAAGAGAUAUGAAUAUUGUUGUGAAAA